GUUGCCGUUCCCUGAAUCCCGUGUCGCCGUCGAGCCCAGAUGAGAGAGGAGAGACUGAGCCUGAACCCCGACGAGCUGGGAAGAACCAGCGCCGCCGCUAUGCUGUCGUCGUGGACACCAUCGCCGCCAUUCGUGCCUCUGAUUCGCGCCGGUGUGACUUCUGUUGCCGUUAGGCUAUCCGCUGACGUCACCGCCGCCAUAACCACUGUUGCUGGUGACCGCCAGGGGAACCCUGAUUGUCUUGGGUCGAGCUCCGAGGUUUGCAUGUCGAAUUUUUAGGUUGCCGUUGAACCACUGGAGUUUCUAGCCGUUGUCGAAGCUUCCGCCGAGUCAGUUCGGGAUUGCGGCUGCUCAAUUCUGCUGUCACCGAAUUAGAAAUCGAGUUUGCAUGUCACGAUUGAGGCUGUUUUGCUAUUGAGAAAGUAAGCGGAGCUGAGGUUUUGGUUGCUGUUGAUUAUGGGCUGAGAGAAAAGAGUUCAGUUGACACGUUUGGAUUAUGGUUUCACUUACC